AACGAACGCUGGCGGCAUGCCUAACACAUGCAAGUCGAACGAGACCUUCGGGUCUAGUGGCGCACGGGUGCGUAACGCGUGGGAACCUGCCCUUAGGUUCGGAAUAACUCCCCGAAAGGGGUGCUAAUACCGGAUAAUGUCUUCGGACCAAAGAUUUAUCGCCUUUGGAUGGGCCCGCGUUGGAUUAGCUAGUUGGUAGGGUAAAAGCCUACCAAGGCGACGAUCCAUAGCUGGUCUGAGAGGAUGAUCAGCCACACUGGGACUGAGACACGGCCCAGACUCCUACGGGAGGCAGCAGUGGGGAAUAUUGGAAAAUGGGCGAAAGACUGAUCCAGCAAUGCCGCGUGAGUGAUGAAGGCCUUAGGGUUGUAAAGCUCUUUUAACCGGGAUGAUAAUGACAGUACCGGGAGAAUAAGCGCCGGCUAACUCCGUG
rnacentral:rRNA from 1 species